GUGACUGCUUCUGGAAAUAGGGUCUUUAAAGAGAUAAUUAAGUUAAAAUAAGGUCAUUAGAGUAAGCCCUAAUCCAACAUGACUGGUGUCCUGAUAAAAGGAAAUUUGGACACAAACAUGUACAAAAGGAAGACUGUGUGAAGACAGAGGUGAAAGCCGUCAUCUAUGAGCCGAAGUCAGAGGCCUGGAACAGAUCUUUUCCUCAGGACCUUCAGAAGAAACCAACCCCACCAACGGGCACCGUCAUGGCAGACUUCUAGUCUCCAGAAUUGAACUGGGAUGUUGCUGAGUCAGCAGAUGGGACCAAGAAGUCCAGCCUUGCAAAAAACAGAACUGCAUAGGAUCAUACAGCUAUCAUUGUUCCACUCUGUUCAUCCAUCUUCCAUUUAUUACCACAUUUCACCUACGAAGCCAGUGGAAUUUGCCUUGGUAGAUGGCAACUUUUGUAAGGAUUUUUAACCUUUAUAAAUUC
rnacentral:lncRNA from 1 species